AGCCGCCAGCUGCCAACGAUAAAACACGAGGCAGUCUGAGGAGGAAACAGGUUAUCGGAGGAACACGUUUUAUGCAGUAGAGUUGUCUGUGAGACGAGCUGGUGGUUGAAUAAAGCCUGCCGGCAGAAGUUCAGAUGGAGCUGGAAUCAACAUAAGUUGGGUGGUUGAAUAAAGCCUGCCGGCAGAAGUUCAGAUGGAGCUGGAAUCUGCAUAAGUUGGGUCUAUGAUGAAGUAAAGACACAUACUGGACCUAAAUCAGGCACAUGGGUGGUGUCGACUUAUCAGACGCCCUGAUCGGGUACUAUGAGGUUCUUCACAAGACGAAAAGACCACCUUCUACCAUUUUGUGGACACUGCAGUUGUGAAUGCCUUCAUACUCUAUAAAGCACAGUGCAAAGCAAAAGGAAUAGCUCCAAUUUCACCAGAAGGCUUUUAGAGAAACCCUUGUCUUGGAGCUGGCAGAUGCAGGAUCCACCAAGGCACCACAAGAGGAAGAAGCAAACAGGGAGAACCAUCAUCGAUUGGUGCACAUCAGCAGUAGCGGGGACAAAACACUUGGCAGGCUGAGGUGCAGGAAGUGCCGAGCAAAAACCCCUGUAAAAUGUUCAGCAUGUGACUUUCCCUUGUGCUUUCUACCCAACAGAGACUGCUACAACCAAUGGCAUACAGAGCAACAUGAGCAACAAUGUUGUAACCAAUGUAUAUAGUUUGCAGUGUGUUUAUUUGUGAAUAUUAUGAGCCAAUAUAUAUAUAUUUUUAUAACACUCAUAACUAUUUUUAUUUAUAUGGAAACGUAUAAAUAGUUUUUUAUUCAUCAUGGAAUAAAAUUUCCAAUAAUAAUAAUAGACUGACGCUGUGUGUAGAUGGAUUCCUCUAGGUAUAAGCUUUCAGUAGAGCCCUCAUUGAUGCCUGUGGGAUGAAGCAUUCAAAAGUUAUUGCACUUUUUCCAUACGUUUUCAAAACGUCUCCAAUUUGGACAGGUUUGGAUAAACCAAAGGUCCCUCUAUGAAGCGCCUGGACAUACCCACAUAAAAACUGGUGUAAAAAAAUUCAUUUUUAUAGAUAUUCUCUUCAAAUUUGAAAUGUUUGUAGUCAACAAGUUAUUCUGUUGGCACAAAAAAAAAAUUCUGUGUUCUGAACUAACUUUUUAUCAGUAAUACAGUGAUUCUGAUUGCUGUGGGUGAAACUAGAGAGUGUUACCUUUACAAAGAGCCCAAGCCUGAGGGUUCAAUAACAGCAGUAAUUCUAAUUUGGAGAGGUCGUAUUACAGGCGUUUUUGCCAAAUGACCCCACUUUGGGAAUGCUGGUCUUGUGAUGUACUGCGCUCAGAAAAUCACUGUUGAAAGAAGCAAAGUCCUGCUCUCGAUAUGGCCGCGUCUGAGGAGACAGUGGGCAAAAAGAUGUUUCACUUGUCUGCUUGUAAUCCUGUUUGGGUGCUGAUCUCCCUGCAGAUAUCACCUUCCUUGUAUUUAAGUUGUAGCACAGUUUUCCUAUUUUAGCAGAUAUUGAUUCAGGAAAUGCGAGAAUGUAAUUAAAACAGAAAUUCAAUUUGGACAAAAUAGCCUAAAUUUAAAGGUGAUAAUCUGUUCUCAUAGCCCAUAUUCAUAAUGAAACUGCCGUUAUUUUUAGACCUAUCUGCAAGUGCAAUGCUGAAGUCAAGAGUCUGACCUGUAAAGGAGCAAGAACGUCUUCUAAUAGCAAAAAAAAGAAGCAUUCAGAUGGAAAAUAAAAACAUUUAACCAUGAAUUACAACUUGGUUUCUGUAUCUUUAUUAUAAUUCUAACAAUUUAUUAUCUCUUAAAACAUUUGAAAUUCAUAUUUAUAUGAAUGUGUGUAUAUGCAUGUCACAUAUACAUAUAUAUUCUGUAAGUUACCUUUCAUCGGUUCAUAUAUAUAUAUAUAUAUAUAUAUAUAUAUAUUUAUUUAUUUUUUUUUAAGAUUUCUUAAAGGAAAAAUGCUUUCUAUCGAGUCGGACCAAUUCCCUCAGUAACAUUUUCCUGAAAGCAUCUGAACUAUAAACCAGUUAGAACUGCUGAAUGCAAAAGAAAAAACUGCUUUAAUGAGAGGCUCAAUGAAUCAGCAAGAGAUGUGUUCAAAAUGACUUCUGCAUGGUUCCUAGUUGGCCCUAUUUACACUGACUUUUUACAGACCUGAUAGAAACAGAGAGAAUCUGGUCUUGGAAAAACGUUUGGAUCAGGAGCCACAUUCUACUUGUUUAUCUUGUGAUAUUUUGGGAUAAAAAAUGACUUCAAAACCUCAACGGAAAUGUAAAAAGUCACAGUUGGUAAUGAUAAUAGUCAUUGCAUAAUAUGCUGGUUACAUACGAAUGAGCAGAUGUUAGCAAGACAAACGAGUGAACAGAGUGGGGCUCAGAUCAUUAAGAUGCAGAGAACAGGUCAAACUGUAUAGAAAGCAGAACAAUCAAAUAAAUACAUUUUUAUCCUUUCAUGUUAAACAUUAUUUGGAAGACAGAGAUUCUUUAGAACUUUUGAAACUUCUUUUUUUUACACCUUAAACUGUAGUUAGAUAACCAUUAACUUCAUCGUCCUUAUUGCUAUUUCCCUUCUAGUCAAAUAUAAUCUCUUCUUAACUGUCAGGACACA